rnacentral:rRNA from 1 species
GAUGAACGCUGGCGGCGUGCCUAAUACAUGCAAGUCGAGCGAACCUCUUCGGAGGUUAGCGGCGGACGGGUGAGUAACACGUGGGCAACCUACCUUGUAGAUGGGGAUAACAUCGAGAAAUCGGUGCUAAUACCGAAUAACACUUUUCUCCACAUGGAGAAAAGUUAAAAGUUGGCUUUUGCUAACACUACAAGAUGGGCCAGCGUCGCUUUAGCUAGUUGGUGAGGUAACGGCUCACCAAGGCGACGAUGCGUAGCCGACCUGAGAGGGUGAUCGGCCACACUGGGACUGAGACACGGCCCAGACUCCUACGGGAGGCAGCAGUAGGGAACCUUCCGCAAUGGACGAAAGUCUGACGGAGCAACGCCGCGUGAGUGAUGAAGGCCUUCGGGUCGUAAAACUCUGUUGUUAGGGAAGAAUAAGUACCGUUCGAAUAGGGCGGUACCGUGACGGUACCUAACCAGAAAGCCACGGCUAACUACGUGCCAGCCGCCGCGGUAA